UGAUCAAACACAAGUCUGGAGCCUUUGAAAUGUUUAAAAAAUUUAGAAAUGAAGUAGAAAAAUUAACAGACAAACCCAUUAAGAUUCUUUGAUCUAAUCGAGGAGAUGAAUACCUUAGUCAAAAAUUUUUGAGAUAUCUUAAAGAUAAUAGCAUAGUCUCUCAAUAGACUCCUUACAAAAUACUUUAGCUCAAUGAGAUAUCCAAA
rnacentral:lncRNA from 1 species